rnacentral:rRNA from 1 species
UACGAAGGGGGCGAGCGUUGUUCGGAUUUACUGGGCGUAAAGGGCGCGCAGGCGGUCAUUUUUGUCGAGUGUGAAAGCCCCGGGCUUAACCUGGGAACUGCGCGCGAAACGGGGGGGCUUGAGUUCGGGGAGAGGAGCGUGGAAUUCCCAGUGUAGAGGUGAAAUUCGUAGAUAUUGGGAAGAACACCGGUGGCGAAGGCGGCGCUCUGGACCGAGACGUGACGCUGAGGCGCGAAAGCGUGGGGAGCGAACGAGG